rnacentral:rRNA from 1 species
UACGUAGGGACCAAGCGUUGUUCGGAAUUACUGGGCGUAAAGCGCGCGUAGGCGGCUUUGUAAGUUAGAGGUGAAAGCCCGGAGCUCAACUCCGGAACUGCCUUUAAAACUGCAUCGCUUGAAUCCAGGAGAGGUGAGUGGAAUUCCGAGUGUAGAGGUGAAAUUCGUAGAUAUUCGGAAGAACACCAGUGGCGAAGGCGGCUCACUGGACUGGUAUUGACGCUGAGGUGCGAAAGCGUGGGGAGCAAACAGG